AUCCAGCUAACGAGUCCUAAAUAGGACGAAACGCGUGUCCUGGAU
rnacentral:hammerhead_ribozyme from 1 species